AUUGACCGCUGGCGGCAGGCUUAACACAUGCCAGUCGAACGAGUGGCGGACGGGUGAGUAAUGCUUGGAAAUCUAGCUUAUGGAGGGGGAUAACUACGGGAAACUGUAGCUAAUACCGCGUACCAUAGGCUGAGCCCAAGUGGGAUUAGGUAGUUGGUGAGGUAAAGGCUCACCAAGCCGACGAUCUCUAGCUGGUCUGAGAGGAUGACCAGCCACCCUGGGACUGAGACACGGCCCAGACUCCGACGGGAGGCAGCAGUGGGGAAGAUUUCUCAAUGGGGGCAACCUGACGCAGCCAUGCCGCGUGAAUGAAGAAGGCCUUCGGGUUGUAAAGUUCUUUCGGUAGCGAGGCGUUAACGACAGAAGAAGCACCGGCUAACUCCGUGCCAGCCGCCGCGGUAAUUC
rnacentral:rRNA from 1 species